rnacentral:rRNA from 1 species
UGGGGAAUUUUUCGCAAUGGGGGCAACCCUGACGAAGCAACGCCGCGUGGAGGAUGAAGGCCUUCGGGUUGUAAACUCCUGUCGACCGGGACGAAAGUUAUCUGGGCUAACAUCCCAGGUAAUCGACUGUACCGGUGGAGGAAGCCACGGCUAACUCUGUGCCAGCAGCCGCGGUAAUACAGAGGUGGCAAGCGUUGUUCGGAAUUACUGGGCGUAAAGGGCGCGUAGGCGGUCUUGUAAGUCUCGUGUGAAAUCCCUCGGCUUAACUGAGGAACUGCACGGGAUACUGCAUGACUUGAGAUCGGGAGAGGGAAGCGGAAUUCCGGGUGUAGCGGUGAAAUGCGUAGAUAUCCGGAGGAACACCGGUGGCGAAGGCGGCUUCCUGGACCGACACUGACGCUGAGGCGCGAAAGCUAGGGGAGCAAACGGGAUUAGAUACCCCCGUAGUCC